rnacentral:rRNA from 1 species
GACGAACGCUGGCGGCGUGCUUAACACAUGCAAGUCGAACGGAAAGGCCCUGCUUGCAGGGUACUCGCGUGGCGAACGGGUGAGUAACACGUGGGUGAUCUGCCCUCCACUUCGGGAUAAGCCUGGGAAACUGUGUCGAAUACCGGAUAGGAGCCAUCUUUAGUCUGGUGGUUGGAAAGUUUUUUCGGUGUAGGAUGGGCUCGCGGCCUAUCAGCUUGUUGGUGGGGUAAUGGCCUACCAAGGCGGCGACGGGUAGCCGGCCUGAGAGGGUGGGCGGCCACAUUGGGACUGAGAUACGGCCCAGACUCCUACGGGAGGCAGCAGUGGGGAAUAUUGCACAAUGGGCGCAAGCCUGAUGCAGCGACGCCGCGUGCGGGAUGACGGCCUUCGGGUUGUAAACUCCUUUCGCUAGGGACGAAGCGUUUUGUGCCGGUACCGAGAUAAGAGCCACCGCCAAACUCCGU